CAAUAGCGUAUAUUAAAGUUGUUGCGGUUAAAAAGCUCGUAGUUGGAUUUCUGCUGAGAACGACCGGUCCGCCCUCUGGGUGUGUAUCUGGCUCUUUCUUGGCAUCUUCUUGGUGAACGUUGCUGCACUUGACUGUGUGGAGCGCUACCCAGGACUUUUACUUUGAGGAAAUUAGAGUGUUCAAAGCAGGCCGUACGCUUGAAUACAUUAGCAUGGAAUAAUGGAAUAGGACGUCGGGCCUAUUUUGUUGGUUCUAGGACCGUCGUAAUGAUUAAUAGGGACAGUUGGGGCCGUUUAUAUUCCGUAGUCAGAGGUGAAAUUCUUGGAUUUACGGAAGAUAAACUACUGCGAAAGCAUUCGGCAAGGAUGUUUUCGUUAA
rnacentral:rRNA from 1 species